GGAUGCGAUCAUACCAGCACUGAAGCACCGGAUCCCAUUAGAACUUCGAAGUUAAGCGUGCUUGGGCGAGAGUAGUACUAGGAUGGGUGACCUCUUGGGAAGUCCUCGUGUUGCAUUCC
rnacentral:rRNA from 2 species